GGAUCCCAGGCUAGGGGUCGAAUUGGAGCUGCAGCUGCCGGCUUACACCACAGCCACAGCAACACCCGAGCCGAGCUGCGUCUUCAAUGUACACCACAGCUCAUGGUAAUUCCGGAUCCUUAACCCACUGAUUGAGGCCAGAGAUGAAACUCAAGUCCUCAUGGAUACUAGUUGAGUUCGUUACCGUUGAGCCACAAUGGGAACUCCCUUCUCCCCCUUUGGUAACCACUCGUGUGUUGUCUUUAUCUGUGGGUCUGCUCCGUUUUGCAUAUACUUUCAUUUGUAUUAUUUUUAGAGUUCCCAUAUAAGUGAUAUCAUACAGUGUUUGUCUGUCUGAUCUAUCUACUAAGUCUCCUGUGCUCUAGGUGUAUGUAUGUACCACGUCUUUAUCUAUUUGUCUGUGGAUGGGCGCUUGGGGUUGCUUUCGUGUCUUGGCUGUGGCGAAGAGUGCUGUGGGAACACCGCGGUGCAUGUGUCUUUUCGAAUUAGUGUUUUCGUUUUCUUUGGGUUGUAUACCCAGGCGUGGGAUUGCUGGGUCAUAUGGUAGUUCUCCUUUUAGCUUUUUGGGAGGAACCUCUGUACUGUUUUCCACAGUGGCUGCACCAGUUUACAUUCCCACCAACAGUGUAGGAGGACUCCCUUUGCUCCAGUCUCUCCAGCAUUUGUUAUUUGUGGACGUUUUGAGAAUGGCCAUCCUCAAAAAAAGGUGAGGUGAUGUCUCCUUGUCGUCUUGAUCUGCCUUUCUCUCGUGAUUAAAGAUGUUGAGUAUCGUUUCAUGUGCCGUUGGCCGUCUGUAUGUCUUCUUUGGAAAAGUGUCUGUUCACAUUUCUGCUGCUUUUUUGGACUGCGUUGUUUGCUUUUUGAUGUUGAGUUCUGGUGGGGUUCAGGAUCUGCGUCUCUGCAGUUCCCAUGUGACGCUGGUGCUGCUGGUCCUGGGUCCCCCCUUUGAGACCCACUGGUCUCUAGCAAUGCGGCUUACGCUGUAACGUACUUGGAAAUCACUUGGAGAGCUCAUUCAAGUGCAGGAAGGAUAAGGCCACGUAUCAAAUGCUGCAUCCCAAACUCAUGUCCUUGGGCACGUGUGGCUCACGUGGUUCCUUUGCCUGGGAUGUUGACGCAGCCGAAGGAGCCGACUUCCUUUGAGGUGGCGAGAAAUGUGUGUAAGUAGCUCGAGGGCGACUAUUUAGGGAAGUAAAGUUAGUUGGAGGCUACAGGGUGUUAAGGAGAGAAACAUGCUAGGGCUGUUUAUAGUUAGUUUUCAUUUUAUGAGGAUGUUGAAUUGCCUUUGCCACUAUAUACAAUAAUAAAAAUAUUUUUACUUAACGAAGUGUUUAUUGUGAUUGAGUUCACGUCAUUACCGUGGCUUACAGAAGGUUUUCUAUUACCGUAUAUGAGCAUCCUAAUUGAGCCUUGAAUUUGGUAAUUAAAAUUUCACCAGAAUUUCAUGUUUUGGGUGUUGAGCGUGUGGCUGAAAGGAGCGCCUCAGUGCUUUCAAGGUCCCAGCGCUGCACUUGGCCGGUGCUCACUGCUGAUUGUGCACCUGAACUGAAUUACGGGUCAAGGGGCCCGACUGUUGCUUUGAGGUGCAGAGGCCAGUGUCGACGUUAUAGACGGUGCUGUGGUGAAAAGUGUGUCCAUGUAAUUUUAUCACUUGGUUUAGCUGAAGUACCAGCCAAGUUAACAUCCAGUGCCUUGGUGAGUGACUACUCAUUUAGGAAAGGAGUCUUCCAAGUUACGGGGCGUCUUUUGGACUUUGCAAAAGAGAAAGCAAAAAUGCUUGUGACUGUCAACUUAAAAAAUAUGCACACCUUGGGAGUACCAAGUCAUGGCUCAGUGGUUAACCAACCCAACUAGCAUCCACGAGGACCUGGGUUCCACCCCUGGCCUCGCUCAGUGGGUUAAGGAUCCGGCGUUGCUGUGGGAUCUCGGUGUAGGUUGCAGACAUGGCUCAGAUCUGGCUUGGCUGUGGCUGUGGUGUAGGCUCGUGGCUACAUCUCUGAUUUGACCCCUAGCCCGGGAACCUCCGUAUGCUGUAGGUGCAGCCCUAAAAGACAAGAAGACAAAAAAAAUUUUUUUAGUUAAAAAAAUGUGCAACUUAAAAGUUGAGAAUUAAGUUUUAUUUAAGGCGAAAUGAGGACUCUGGCCCAGGAGGCGGCAUGUCAGGGAGCUCUGAACUACGGCUCCAAAGAGGCGGGGGAAGGUCGGUGUGUGUGAUUUGGGUGCGGGGGGUGGUUCAUGCAGCUGAACACGCAUUUUACAGAUGGUUGCCACUAGUGUCACGAAGGUCCCUGCUCGUCACAAGCAGACAUCACCAUGAAGGACUGCAGUGCUUUUCUAGACACGAGGAGAUGCAAGAAUUGGGCUCAGAAAAUCUCCUGAAAAUACCCAACCCUCUAAAGCCCUGUUCUUCCAUGUUCCCGGAGCACGGAGGGCCUCACUCCUGAGCUCCACCCUGGGCUCCUUUCAGGGGGUUGGGGGUCGGCAGCUGCAGCGGCUCGUGCUUCAGUCCGUGUAGAGGCAGAUGGCAGGUGCCAGACUCCAGGUGAAUGGAAACACGUUAUGAGUGGGCUCUUAAUGUGGACCCGAGGCAGCCUCCUAAUUCAGAGCAUUUUGGGGAGUUCCCUCUGGCUCAGCAGGUUAAGGGUCUGCUGUCAUCACUGCUGUGGAGUGGGUUUGAUCCCUGGCCCAGGAACUUCCACAUGC
rnacentral:lncRNA from 1 species